GAUGAACGCUGGCGGCGUGCCUAAUACAUGCAAGUCGAGCGGCAAGACGAUGAGCUUGUUCCUCUGAGGUUGGCGGCGGACGGGUGAGUAACACGUGGAUCACCUACUUAUAAGUCUGGGAUAACUACGGGAAAAAGGAGCUACUACCGGCUAAUAUAUUGUACGGCUGGGUUCAAUAGUGCAUGGGGGUUUUGGUGUUUGUUAUAGCUGGUUCCGCGCCGCAUUAGCUAGUUGGUAAGGUAACGGCUUACCAAGGCAACGAUGCGUAGCCGACCUGAGAGGGUGAUCAGCCACACUGGAACUGAGACACGGUCCAGACUCCUACGGGAGGCAGCAGUAGGGAAUCUUCAGCAAUGGGCGAAAGCCUGACCGAGCCACGCCGCGUGAGUGAAGAAGGCCUUCGGAUUGUAAAACUCUGUUGUUGGGGAAGAAAAGAAGCAUGAGUAUCUAUGGACGUCUUGACGGUACCUAAAGAAAAAGCACCGGCUAACUUCGUG
rnacentral:rRNA from 1 species